GUCGAUUCGAUUUACCUUCGGGUAUUGAGGAUGGCGGACGGGUGAGUAACGCGUAAGGAACUUGCCUCUUGGUCUGGGACAACUGUUGGAAACGACAGCUAAUACCGGAUAUUAUGAGAUUCUCGCAUGGGAAACUUAUGAAAGCUAUAUGCGCCAAGAGAGAGCCUUGCGUUCCAUUAGCUAGUUGGUGGGGUAACGGCCCACCAAGGCGACGAUGGAUAGCCGGCCUGAGAGGGUGAACGGCCACAAGGGGACUGAGACACGGCCCUUACUCCUACGGGAGGCAGCAGUGGGGAAUAUUGGACAAUGGGCCACAAGCCUGAUCCAGCAAUUCUGUGUGCACGAUGAAGGUCUUCGGAUUGUAAAGUGCUUUCAGUUGGGAAGAAGAAAGUGACGGUACCAACAGAAGAAGCGACGGCUAAAUACGUGCCAGCAGCCGCGGUAAUACGUAUGUCGCAAGCGUUAUCCGGAUUUAUUGGGCGUAAAGCGCGUCUAGGCGGAAAAAUAAGUCUGAUGUUAAAAUGCGGGGCUCAACUCCGUAUUGCGUUGGAAACUGUUUUUCUAGAGUACUGGAGAGGUGGGCGGAACUACAAGUGUAGAGGUGAAAUUCGUAGAUAUUUGUAGGA
rnacentral:rRNA from 1 species